rnacentral:rRNA from 1 species
AUUGAACGCUGGCGGCAGGCCUAACACAUGCAAGUCGAGCGGAUGAGAGGAGCUUGCUUCUCGAUUCAGCGGCGGACGGGUGAGUAAUGCCUAGGAAUCUGCCUGGUAGUGGGGGACAACGUUUCGAAAGGAACGCUAAUACCGCAUACGUCCUACGGGAGAAAGCAGGGGACCUUCGGGCCUCGCGCUAUCAGAUGAGCCUAGGUCGGAUUAGCUAGUUGGUGAGGUAAUGGCUCACCAAGGCGACGAUCCGUAACUGGUCUGAGAAGAUGAUCAGUCACACUGGAACUGAGACACGGUCCAGACUCCCACGGGAGGCAGCAGUGGGGAAUAUUGGACAAUGGGCGAAAGCCUGAUCCAGCCAUGCCGCGUGUGUGAAGAAGGUCUUCGGAUUGUAAAGCACUUUAAGUUGGGAGGAAGGGUUGUAGAUUAAUACUCUGCAAUUUUGACGUUACCGACAGAAUAAGCACCGGCUAACUCUGUGCCAGCCGCCGCAGUAACAC